rfam:Ixodes scapularis strain Wikel colony gcontig_1108378767986, whole genome shotgun sequence.
CUGGUCGUCGGUCUUUAAGGCGAUGGACUAGAAAUCCAUUGGGGUGUCCCCGCACAGGUUCGAAUCCUGUCGACUGCG